UGUGAAGUGAGAGCAUAACUAUGGAAGUAUUUGUGGGCGAUCGAGGUUAUGUUUUCUUGGGAGGGCGAACAUUAAUUCAUAGUGAACCAUAGUGUAAAUAAAAAACAAACAUUUUUCAUAUAAAUGUUCAUGUUAGUGUAACAAGCGUUCUUGACAAUUUUCAUGCGAAAAUGAAUAGCAGUGCUUCAUCAGUGAAAAAAACAAAAUUAAGUGUAACAUUUGAAGGUCACAUUUAGUGUUUGACUUUGUUUUUUUGGACAGGUCAAAAUUCUACAGCUUUUCAACUAAAAUUUGCAGGUAGCAUUCGGAUGUGACCACGAACACAUAUAAUUUUAUUUUGAUUUUUCUUACAUUUGAAAAAUGCAUUUUUGGCACUCAGGAGCAUGUGCUUCUGGAAGCCAAACUGGAUUUCCGUGUUUUCUCAUACUUUUUCCCUAAUCAUAUAUUUGUGUUUCUGUAUUAAUUGCAAUCAUAAUCAACUGUAGUUAAUUGCAUUGUGAAUCGACUAUUCAAUAUUUGAAAGUGCCACAAGAGCUGUUUCUGUAUUAAUUGCACUGUGUGCGUUUGUAUUCCACCUGACCACCUGUACUAAGUUUCUGGUACUCCCAACGGUAGUGCAUAGCCUGCACAUGACCGGCACCAAAAACACCUUGUAUAUGCAUCUACUACGGUUGCCCAGAUGUCGCUUUCCGUGGAUGAAAUACAACGAACUCCCCUAUCUAUACAGCGAGAUGAUCCCAAGGCAUCAGGUGCUCGUCCACCAAAACUGCUUUUCGUAGAAACUUACGUAGCUUACUAGUGAAGCUAGUAUAUGACGCAAAUGCUUACCUCAGAUAGGUCGGUUCAGAACUGCUAUAUAAGGAGCAGCUCACCACAAAUUGUAACAAGCUCAUCAGUACUGAAAUACACUAGAAAAACAGCUUCACAGCGUGGAUGUCAUCAUGGUUAACUAGACGAGAGAAAGAUGAGGGGGACAAAGUAUCCACCUCUCAUCACUAUGCCUUGAUCGGGAGCUUCACACCGUGGAUGUCAUCGUGGCCGUACAUGAAUCGUCCCCCACAUCCAGCUCUGUUCAAUUUCAGACAAAGGUGGACGUUUCAUUGUACGGCCUGAUGACAUCCACAGCGUGGCUCUCCCAGAAACAGACUACUCAAGGGAGAAACAAAGCUGUAACAGGCAGCCAAGCCGUAUACAAGUGAAGUGUGCACCCGACGGUUACCUUCAGGCGAGGCACAGAGCCACGGCCGUCUUCGGGGACUUCUCGGGGAGGCGGCUCCAAGCGGUGGCCUCGCUGAACGGACGGGAGCGCCCUCACACGCCACAACAACAGCGCAGCACGGCUGCACGGCGGGCAUGGUCGCCACCGGAGCGUGGCGGCAGCGACCGCGUCGCGUCAGCGAAGGCGACGGGCGCACGGCCGAGGCCUUGUGAUCAGUGCGCAGCCCGGUCCACGCGCAAGGCGAGGCGGAAGCCAAACCUCCUGGCGUGGCUCUCCCGGUCGCAUGGCGGCCCAUGGCGCAGCGGAGGUUCUGCCCGGCGCGGUGCGGCGGUGUAGCGCGUGGCUAUGCGCCGGCGCGGCAUUGGCAACGUGCGGUUGCCUGACCCGAAGGCAUGGCCGGGCUGGCUGUUGGCCGCCCGUCGACGGCGACGGUGCGGCGUUGACUGUGCGGCACGGAUUUCUCCGGCGAUAGGCCAUGCGGCUUGGAGGAAGCGGGGAUUGGGUAAUCCUAUCCCUUUGGAAUAUUUACAGUUCGGUCUACAAUAUUUCUGUUAUUCACAGAAACGACCAUAUAUUUCUCUAUAUUUUCUUUUGAACACCAUAUAUUGGCAAAGGCACCGGUUUGCAAUUGGGCGCUGCUACGCGUCGGCCGGCGGAUCUUUUCGAAAGAUCCGCCACCUCGCAAGCCUCAAAUCUCGAGCGGCCGACCGUCACCAUGUACCAUUGCAAUAUAUGUUGUGUUUUAGAAUUUUUCUGCAACACGGGUCAUGAUGCAGAAAAUUUUACAACAUAGAUUAAGUUGCAGAUUUUUUUACAACAAAAGUCUUGUUAGAGUUUUA